UACAGAGGGGGCAAGCGUUGUUCGGAAUUACUGGGCGUAAAGGGCGCGUAGGUGGCCUUCUAAGUUGAACGUGAAAUCCCUGGGCUCAACCCAGGAACUGCGUCCAAGACUGGGAGGCUUGAAUCCGGGAGAGGGAUGCGGAAUUCCAGGUGUAGCGGUGAAAUGCGUAGAUAUCUGGAGGAACACCGGUGGCGAAGGCGGCGACCUGGGUAGAUACUGACGCUGAGGUGCGAAAGCGUGGGGAGCAAACAGG
rnacentral:rRNA from 1 species